rnacentral:rRNA from 1 species
UGAGUAACCUGCCCUUAACUCUGGGAUAAGCCUGGGAAACUGGGUCUAAUACCGGAUAUGACUCCUCAUCGCACGGUGGGGGGUGGAAAGCUUUAUUGUGGUUUUGGAUGGACUCGCGGCCUAUCAGCUUGUUGGUGAGGUAAUGGCUCACCAAGGCGACGACGGGUAGCCGGCCUGAGAGGGUGACCGGCCACACUGGAACUGAGACACGGUCCAGACUCCUACGGGAGGCAG